GGGUAAUGAAACAGGAAACGUGGGUUUCCCCCCUACGCAUCUUCAGAGGAGAGGACUCAGAUCAGGUAACAAUUUUCUGAACCCAGGGACAUAAAUCUUCUCAGCCCUCAUAAAUUGAUCUUUGUGAGAUUUUAUCCUGAAGAGCAAACUUGAGCAAAACAAGCAAGCAAGCAAGCAAGCAAGCAAGCAAGCCAUCCCUGUCAAGGUGCUGUCAAAUAUGUUGAGAGCAUGGGACACACAUCACUCCAGUCCAUCUUCAGAGGCGGCAGCAGCAUGUUUUAUUCAUAGCCUGGAAGUUGAAAUGACUGAAAGCACCACGAAUGAACAGAGGAAAUAUGACAUACAGUGAACAGCUACUUGCCACUCAAAAGAAUGUGUCUCUGUCAUUUAAAACAGCAUGCGGCAUGAUGGAACUAGGCUUACUUAAAUGAAAUAAAAUAAGUUUGGUAUAGAAA